rnacentral:lncRNA from 1 species
AUGGGUGGGACACAAAGGCCUCCAGCCUUCUCUUUCGCUCUGAGUCACCGGGCACCCUACCUAUUUAUCCCUGGAACAAGUUUAGUUCCCGCAGACGAUCACAGUGCAUCCCCUUCGUCCCCACCUAGCUGGGAGUGACUCAGCUGGGUGACUUGUCAACUCCAUGUAAAAUCUCAGGCCCAGCCCCUGGGAGGGGUUCCAGUUCCAUCUCUGGCAUUUCAUUAAAGUUGGGACCAUCUUUCUCCGGCUUUUUGCAGCCAGGCUCAAAUCAGAUAAACUCCUUUGUUCUUCGUGGAACUGACAAGCAGUUAAAACCCCAUUAUUAUGCUAUAAUUUCAGAAAAUGGAUCCAAGUGAAUAGCUAAAUAGGGCUCAAGGCUGCUUAAUGAGACAUCUUAUUUGAGGCUUUCAAAUGUCAGAAAUUCCAGACAGCAGCAAGCUGAAGUCUCUGGGACCAACGUGUCAGCUCCAGGAAAGCUGGACCCCACGGUGCAGUGGAAGCAAAGAUUAAAACAGCAGGCUGGAGGAGCAGAAAUGUGAACAGCUGGAGGCCGGAAAAGAAAGGACACAAGCGGAGAAGAAACACCAGAGGAAAAAUAAUCCCUUAGAGGGUAAAGAACAAAUAAUUGAAUAAGGGAUUAAAAAACACACAAGGAGAGAUCCCUGGUAAUUACCCUUGACAGCCAGUGUGAAAAGGGCCCGGGAUGGGGGCUUUGUCCCUCCCCUCUCCGCUCACACCUCUCAGCCGCAGUAGGUUCUUUCCUGUUGCUCCUGUCUUGAUUUAGAAUAAGCUCCUUUUCUCUAAAGCAAA